UUCCACAGCCCAUAGCCACUCGUUCUACAGCUCCAUGAAAGAGGAUUCCAGCAAGGUGAGGUCCGCCGCUCGGCGCCGUGGCCGGCGGCCAGACGGGAGCUGUCGCGGCUAGCGCUGCACGUGUCCGGUGUGCUGCAACGCCCUGGCCGUGACCUUGGAAAGCGGCAAAGACGGCCUGUCGCGGCUAGUGCCGCCCGGCUCCGGCGUGCUGCGCCGCGUGAGGGCAGUGGCCUUGACCCCUUGACUGGAGGCAAGAUGGGGUCCAUGGAAGCUAGCUCCACUUGCUUCAGUCGCGCUGCGCCGUGCGGGCCGUUGCCUUGGCUGAUGCGAUGACGGGACCGUCGCGGCUAGCUCCGCCCGCCUCUGGCACGCCCAAGGCUGUGCCCGACCUGCUCCCUAGUAGAAGGUGGAACCACAACGCAUGCACCCAGUCGGCGGGUGCGGCCGUGGCCGGUGGAGAUGCCGCCGGAGGUCGCUGGGUCACACUUGAAGAAGGCGUGAGCUCAAUGCAACUCAACAGGCAAAGAUUCCAGGCGCAAUAAUGGACCUAUGGGCGAUGAAGUGCCAGGAGCUCCUUCUAUGCUGAAGAACACCAUAGAGGUUGAUCCAUGGAGAGGGCAAUUUUCUAGCAAUCCUGAUCUAUUCUCUUGUAUCCAGGGUGCAACAAUCAACAAUGGAGUACUCCUAGAUGGGUAGGACACAGGAUGUAUAGCCAUGAAGAAACUUUGGCGGCAAAAUCUGUUGUUAUGCGGUAGAAAAAAAAGGUUGUUUGCUGAUUUUCUGGAACGUAACAGCAACUAGAGAGAUGUGCUGUGUUUAUUGAGUGGUGGGUCCACCAGGACAUGUGUUGGCCGGUGGUUGGGCCUGCACAAUACUGCGUGCUGGGAACCCAGCAGGAGAGCCCGACCCGUACGUAAUGGGAUGGCCCAUGUAGCUGGUUCCUUUUUUUCUUCGCGAAUGUUCCCGACCGGUUUUAUGAAGCUUCUGACCGGUUUUGCAAAGGUUUAAGAAGCUCCCGGCCAUUUUUUUCCCUGGUUUUCUAUUCACUUUUCCCUUUUCGUUUUUGUUUUAUUUUAUUUUGCU